GACGAACGCUGGCGGUGUGCUUCACACAUGCAAGUCGAACGGAGUAGCAAUACUCAGUGGCGGACGGGUGAGUAACACGUGGGAAUCUACCAUUAGGUGGGGAAUAACAGGCCGAAAGGACUGCUAAUGCCGCAUAUGUAGGCAUCUCGACAGAGAUGUUUAUGAAAGGAGUAAUCCGCCUUUUGAUGAGCCCGCGUCCGAUUAGCUAGUUGGUAGGGUAAAAGCCUACCAAGGCGACGAUCCGUAACUGGUCUGAGAGGAUGAUCAGUCACACCGGAACUGAGACACGGUCCGGACUCCUACGGGAGGCAGCAGUGGGGAAUAUUGGACAAUGGGCGAAAGCCUGAUCCAGCAAUACCGCGUGUGUGAAGAAGGCCUUCGGGUUGUAAAGCACUUUAAGUUGGGAAGAAAAAGCUUCACCUAAUACGUGAAGCCUUGACGGUACCGACAGAAUAAGCACCGGCUAACUCUGUGCCAGCAGCCGCGGUAAUACAGAGGGUGCUAGCGUUAAUCGGAUUUACUGGGCGUAAAGCGUGCGUAGGUGGUUUGAUAAGUCGAUUGUGAAAGCCCCGGGCUUAACCUGGGAAUUGCGGUCGAUACUGUCAGACUCGAAAACGGUAGAGGGAGGUGGAACUCCAGGU
rnacentral:rRNA from 1 species